rnacentral:rRNA from 1 species
UACGUAGGGGGCAAGCGUUGUCCGGAUUUAUUGGGCGUAAAGAGCGUGUAGGCGGCCAGAUAGGUCCGUUGUGAAAACUGGAGGCUUAACCUCCAGCUGUCGAUGGAAACCAUCUGGCUAGAGUCCGGAAGAGGAGAGUGGAAUUCCUGGUGUAGCGGUGAAAUGCGCAGAUAUCAGGAAGAACACCCGUGGCGAAGGCGGCUCUCUGGGACGGUACUGACGCUGAGACGCGAAAGCGUGGGGAGCGAGCAGG